rnacentral:lncRNA from 1 species
GGAAGUUGCCUAAGAUUUCACAGCUGGUAAAUAGAGAUGAGAUACUUCUGAAUGACCACCAGGUUGUCACACUGCGUGGGAGGCGGUGAGCAGCAGGCAGGCGAUGGGAGCCGUUGCCAGGGACCAUCUUGGGUGAUACCCGAGGGAUGUGGCUGUCCACAGACAAACCCCGGUGCUGCUUGUUCUUCUGUUUCACAAGACCCUGAAGGGCCUCCGGGAAAGGCAGAGUGCUUCGUGGGGACAUAAUUUAGAGGGAUGAAGCUUCAAAAUGUUGGUGGCCAACACUGAAGAGGAGUUCUGCUUUUGGAGGGACGGUUAUUACGAGUUACUUGCUGUGCUCCGGCCGAGGGUGCUCUGGAACAGAAGAGGCUUCCCUGCGCUCUGCAGGAUAAUUACUUCAAUUUCCCUCACACGCAGGGCUGUUUAAUUUUAUAACAUUGCCAUUGGGCCCAGAAAAAAUCCCUCCAGAGCCCGUUAUUAACAUCCUGAAAAUGGAAAGCAUAAUCUCAGAACAAAUAGCUAAAAUAAUAUUUUGCCACAGUUUUAUUUUUGCCUUGUGAAGGGGGAACGCGAAGCAGUUGCACUCUCUCUCUUUUUUCUUUCGGUGUUUGGUGUGCUAGAGUGAAAGUGCUUUAGAAACAAAGGAAACAGAACUGAAAGGGGUGGAAGACGGAGGAGACUUCAUUUCUCUCCACAACCUCUGGGUGCAGUCCUCAUGCCCUUGGGAGAGGCCGGACGGCAGGCAGCAGGGCCGAGACCUGUUCUCCAGGGUGACCCAGCCUCCCGCCCUCGCCUAAGCCCUGCUGUGUGGUAGUUUGCAUCCUGGGUUGUUCUCCAUCCAUGUGGCCUCUUGAAUCUGCAAGCUCAGAAUUUGGCAUCUCUCAGGUGCCCUCUCAAAUCAUUAACUCCUUUAAUGCACUGUGUUCUUGGCCGCAGCCGGGCUGAGCGCUGUGCCCACACUGUCCCAUUCUCUGGACCUUCCGGCUGACAAACGGUUUGGGACCCGGUUUCUCAGCACCCAGAGUGAGAGGUUAGAUCAACCUGAUCCCAGGUCCAGGGGCAGCCCGCUUCACACACCCUGAACACGGAGGCAAUGAUGAUGGCUUUCUCUCAGAGUACCCUCGCUCUCUGCAUCACCUCACCGUCUACAGCCCCACGCUCACUGAUUCAUCGGUCACCGUGGAUUUGUUGUUGGGCUUCCUGGGCUUGCCAGGAAGUGUGUCCUGUCCUGCAGCCUGAGCCCCUCAGUGCAGGACUCGAUGCUUGACUCAUCACUGACCUGAAGCAACCCUGCUCACUCUGAGACUUAUUCAGAAACAAAUUUUAAAAUUGUAAUCCAGAAAGGUAAUUUACAUUUUAAAUAAAUACACACUACACAGUGUGAUUAGAACA